rnacentral:lncRNA from 1 species
AGUUGGGUCCCUUGUCCAGGUGGGAACUUUUUAAGAUCAUAUUCAACCAGGAAGCUGCCACGUGCACCUAAAUGCAGGGAGGGACAGGAGGCCUCCCAUGGCUGCAAAAGAGCAAGGAGGUCACUUGGUCGUGAACGGCACCUUGCAGGGUGUGACAACGAAGAGGGGAUCUUCUUAAACCCUGGCACCACAAGGCUCUGUGUCAUAGACAGAGCCAUACAAGCUGAGUGGAAAGACUCUGAUGUAAAGAGCAAACUUUGAGCACGUGAACAAAGACACCGAGGAGUCACUCCCAAUGGGCCCACUUGUCCCUGGCACUAAGACAAAGAUGGUGGAACACAGAAUGCAAAAGACACCCAGAAUAGGUUCCAGAGUGUCUCAAAGGAGAAGAGGAACUGGAGUAGUCAAGGCAGGCCCACUCCUCUUAACAACUGGUGACAAUGGGCCUCCAAAUCUCAUCACGAAGCAAAUAGCAGCACACCAUCCCCUCAGAGAGGAACCUGGGCUUCACCCUCCUCACUCCGUCUCCUUCCCUGCAGCCCACCUCCCACCAUGGCUUAAGCUACAGAAGCACAUUUUUGCUUGUUUUGUGCACUGCUGUAUCCCCAGAGCCUAGAACGGUUGAAUUAAUGAACUGAACGAUUAAAUCAGCAAGUUCUGGCAGCUCUGCCUCCAAGAGAGACCUCCAGUCUGUGCGCUUUUCUCCAUUGCCACUGCUGACAUCCCAGCCGAAGUCAUCGCCGUGUAUGGCCAACUGCAUAAGCCCCUGCCUGUGUUCCUGCCCUGACUCUUGCCCUCUCUGAGCCACAUUCCUUGCAGAAGCCAGGCAAAACCAAGUUCCAAGGAUAUUGAUCAAAAUCAAGGAGCUAAUGAGUGGCAGAGCUGAAAUUCAAAUUCGGACUCCAGGCUCUGUCAUCUUUCCACGUAUCAGCUGCCCCAUUUGUCUUGUGGGUUCCCUGCCUCCUCCAGCCAGCCUUUUUUGUGCCCUUCAAUCCCUAGUAAAGUGGCAUAUGAAUAAUAAAUAGUGGUUAAUAUUUAUCGUGAGCUUACAAUAUUCUCCAUAUUUUAUAAGUGGUCUACAGGGGUUAUCAUUUAAUUCUCACCACCCUAUGAUGUAAAUCCUAUUAUUUUUAUCCUAAGGUGCAAGGUGAGACCUCUGAGGUUCAGAGACGUUAAAUAACUUUACCAAGGUCACACAGCAAUUAAAUCAUAGGGCCAGGAUUUAAACCCAGGCAAUCUGGCUCCUGAGCCUAUGCAUUUAGCCACUGUGCCAUGCCACCCC